rnacentral:rRNA from 1 species
AUUGAACGCUGGCGGCAUGCCUUACACAUGCGAGUCGAACGGUAACGCGGGGCAACCUGGCGACGAGUGGCGAACGGGUGAGUAAUGCAUCGGAACGUGCCCAGUAGUGGGGGAUAGCCCGGCGAAAGCCGGAUUAAUACCGCAUACGACCUACGGGUGAAAGCGGGGGACCGUAAGGCCUCGCGCUAUUGGAGCGGCCGAUGUCAGGUUAGGUUGUUGGUGGGGUAAAAGCCUACCAAGCCGACGAUCUGUAGCUGGUCUGAGAGGACGACCAGCCACACUGGGACUGAGACACGGCCCAGACUCCUACGGGAGGCAGCAGUGGGGAAUUUUGGACAAUGGGGGCAACCCUGAUCCAGCCAUGCCGCGUGCGGGGAGAAGGCCUUCGGGUUGUAAACCGCUUUUGUCAGGGAAGAAACGCUCUGGGCUAAUACCCCGGGGUAAUGACGGUACCUGAAGAAUAAGCACCGGCUAACUACGUGCCAGCCGCCGCCGUAACAC